ACGAACGCUGGCGGCGCGCCUAACACCUGCCAGUCGAACGGAGUCAAGAGGAGCUUGCUUUUCUUGACUUAGUGGCGAACGGGUGAGUAACGCGUGAGUAACCUGCCCUGGAGUGGGGGACAACAGUUGGAAACGACUGCUAAUACCGCAUAAGCCCACGGAUCCGCAUGGAUCUGCGGGAAAAGGAUUUAUUCGCUUCAGGAUGGACUCGCGUCCAAUUAGCUAGUUGGUGAGGUAACGGCCCACCAAGGCGACGAUUGGUAGCCGGACUGAGAGGUUGAACGGCCACAUUGGGACUGAGACACGGCCCAGACUCCUACGGGAGGCAGCAGUGGGGGAUAUUGCACAAUGGGGGAAACCCUGAUGCAGCGACGCCGCGUGGAGGAAGAAGGUUUUCGGAUUGUAAACUCCUGUCGUGAGGGACGAUAAUGACGGUACCUAACAAGAAAGCACCGGCUAACUACGUG
rnacentral:rRNA from 1 species